rfam:Oryza sativa Japonica Group DNA, chromosome 7, cultivar: Nipponbare, complete sequence.
UUUAAGUGUGGUUAUGGGUUUCCGUGUCCAACAUUUGAUCAUUCGAUUACUUUUAUUAUUAUUAGAUAAUAAGAUAUGAAUACUACUUUGUGCGUGGUUUUUUUUUUAAAAAAAUAAAUAAUAAGGAUGGUUAAAGUUUGACACAGAAAGACGGACACUCCCUCC